rnacentral:rRNA from 1 species
AGUGAACGCUGGCGGUAGGCCUAACACAUGCAAGUCGAACGGCAGCACAGUAAGAGCUUGCUCUUACGGGUGGCGAGUGGCGGACGGGUGAGGAAUACAUCGGAAUCUACUUUUUCGUGGGGGAUAACGUAGGGAAACUUACUCUAAUACCGCAUACGACCUACGGGUGAAAGCAGGGGAUCUUCGGACCUUGUGCGAUUGAAUGAGCCGAUGUCGGAUUAGCUAGUUGGCGGGGUAAAGGCCCACCAAGGCGACGAUCCGUAGCUGGUCUGAGAGGAUGAUCAGCCACACUGGAACUGAGACACGGUCCAGACUCCUACGGGAGGCAGCAGUGGGGAAUAUUGGACAAUGGGCGCAAGCCUGAUCCAGCCAUACCGCGUGGGUGAAGAAGGCCUUCGGGUUGUAAAGCCCUUUUGUUGGGAAAGAAAAGCAGCAGGUUAAUACCCCGCUGUUCUGACGGUACCCAAAGAAUAAGCACCGGCUAACUUCGUG